UUUCCUCACUGAGCUCCAUUUAGCCCCCUCCACCUCAUUCAAAAUGGCUUUUGCUGCAGGAAGCCAUGCUGCUAGGAGUUACACUGACUACAACUGCUCCUGGAGCCCUCUUCAGUUAGAAAGAGAGGGAUUCCAUAGUGUGGAAACAGUGCACAUUACUGAAGACUCUUCCUGCAUUCUCUUUAAGGGAUGUAAACUGAGUAACAACUUGUUGAAGACUGAAAAUGUGGUACGCAAUUCAAGAAUGUGAUCUUCUCAUCUUCAAAGGUGGAGGGGGUUCCAGCUCCCCGGUAAACCGAACUGGAAGUGGAUGUAGGUGGAAACAGGGCCGGCUCCAGCUUUUUUGCCGCCCCAAAAAGAAAAAAGGAGAAGGAAAAAAAAAAGCCGCGAUCAACAGCACUUCGAUGGCAGCUCUACCAUGCCGCUUCAUUCUUCGGCAGCAAGUCCUUCCCUCCGAGGGGGACUGAGGGACUUGCCACCGAAGACCCGGAUGUGCCACACCUUCCCAUUGGCCGCCCCGAGCACCUGCUUCCUGCGCUGGUGUCUGGAGCCGGCCCUGGGUGGAAAGCAUCCCCUAAAGAAACUGCGGAAAGGGAAUGAGACUCCUAACAUCAGGUACAUUGAGGAGAACCCCCUUUCCUCAUCCCCCUCAGUCCACAUGCAUGAGAGGAGGGCAGUUGGAGUCUCAGCAAUGGGCUUGAGACAGAUUUAGAGGGUGGAGGUCUGAUGGCAGCUCUCCCCAAAUAGGUAGACAAGUUUGCCAAAGGAAUGAUGAUAUACAAGUUAUUGCUGGAUAAUUCCCAGGUGAUCUAAGUUAAUAAACUUUUGUGGCCUAAUUAAACCACAUCCUUCACAUCUUGUGUUUCUUCCUGCAUGUGUGGGACUAUUUCAGGAAAUUGUUUGGACUACUGGCAUCUCCCAUGCUGCAAAGUAGAUGGCCCUCUCUCCCUCAUGUAUUUUCAGACACCUUCAGACCAUAUGUCUGUCCAAAUGAAUCUGCAAAAGUUUAGGUUCAACAGACUCUAACACCACUGAUGUAGGUGGAUUUGGACUAUGGUUUGGAUUUUUUUUGUUUUGCAUUUAAGAAAAUCAUACAUGGCUUUUGAAAGAAAUAUUCAGAUGCAGGUUUCUAUCUACUUCACUUGUAGUAGAGUGUGCCAACAGCUUAUUAUAUGGGCCUGAUCCUUCUAGCCUCGUCCCCACUACUGACUCGGAACUCAUGUUUAUUGACAUUACUGACUCAGAUUGGUACAUUGUUUUUGUGCUUCUUAGGUAUUUCCAUCAGUUUCAGCAGCAUUUAAAGCAUAGCCAAAGCUAAUUUUCUAGCCCUUAUGAUACCAAGGAUGAUAAACGGAA